rnacentral:rRNA from 1 species
AUGGCGAGCAGCGGCGACCCCGAAGUAUUUGGUGAGGCAGGCAUCGGGCCGGAGAUCCGCCGCGUCCACGACUGGGUUCCCGAGGGGAUGGAGUUGCGGUUUGCUUUCUUGGUGCAAAUUAGAAGGGACCGGCAUUUGGACCUAGGAUGGCGGGUGCAACAUCUCGAGGAGAACCAAGUCGUCGUAAUGGCAUCUCUAGCCAAAACAGUUCAGUUGGUGCACGGUGACGUGGUGGCUCAACAAGUGUGGGUUGAUGAAGAGAAGUUAUAUUUUGAUGUUAUUCGGAAUUUACGACGGUCACCUCGGUCUGAAAACCAAGAUGAGGCUCACAAUGCAGUCCUUGUGGAUGAUGACACGGUGGGUGAGGACGAAGACCUUGCAGCUGUUGAAUGGGACCCUUUGAACCCUCAUAUGGAAGAACGUACAGUUUUUGCACCCAUGAAUGAGUGUAGAAAUGCACUUGUGACAUACUGCAUCAAGCCGGUUGCCUCAACAGAUGAUGAAAAUGAUGGUCAACAGUCGGUUGCAUUAGAUGAGGAUUUUGACGAGGUUCCAAAUGAUGAUGGUCAACAUACGCAUGAUUUUGAUGAUGAUCCAAAAUAUCCUCCAAAUCAUGAUUCAAGUGAGGCUCCAAAUGGUGAUCAUGGUGAUCCAAGUGAGCCUCCAAAUGGUGAUCAUGGUGAUCCAAGUGAGGCUCCAAAUGAUGAUCCAAGUGAGGCUCCAAAUGGUGACCAACCUUCUGUUCUUGUGAGUUCUGCUAGCUCUAUGAUAGGUUUGAAGAAGACGCACAAGGUACCGACAGCCAAUAGGAGAAGAGCAAGGUGCACGAGGAGCAAAGUGAUGGCAAGAAGCUCAAGGAACAGACAGAAGCCCCAACGCUAUGAAUAA